rnacentral:rRNA from 1 species
CACGCCGUAAACGAUGAGUGCUAGGUGUCGGAGCCGACAGGCUUCGGUGCCGCAGCAAACGCAUUAAGCACUCCGCCUGGGGAGUACGUUCGCAAGAAUGAAACUCAAAGGAAUUGACGGGGACCCGCACAAGCAGCGGAGCAUGUGGUUUAAUUCGAAGCAACGCGAAGAACCUUACCAGGACUUGACAUCCCUCUGACGUAGACGUAAUGGUCUAUUUCCUUCGGGACAGAGGAGACAGGUGG